rnacentral:rRNA from 1 species
GACGAACGCUGGCGGCGUGCUUAACACAUGCAAGUCGAACGAUGAAGCGGGUGCUUGCACUCGUGGAUUAGUGGCGAACGGGCGAGUAACACGUGAGUAACCUGUCCUUUUCUUUGGGAUAACGGCUGGAAACGGCUGCUAAUACUGGAUAUUCAGGCUGCAUCGCAUGGUGUGGUUUGGAAAGGUUUUUUCUGGGAUUGGGUGGGCUCGCGGCCUAUCAGCUUGUUGGUGGGGUGAUGGCUUACCAAGGCUUUGACGGGUAGCCGGCCUGAGAGGGUGGGCGGUCGCACUGGGACUGAGAUACGGCCCAGACUACUACGGGAGGCAGCAGUGGGGAAUAUUGCACAAUGGACGAAAGUUUGAUGCAGCGACGCCGCGUGGAGGGUGUAGGCCUUCGGGUUGUGAACUCCUUUUUCUCGCGAAAAAGGCACAGUUUUGGCUGUGUUGAUGGUAGUGGGGGAAGAAGCGCCGGCUAACUACGUG